UAUGGGAUAGCUAUUGGAAACGAUAAGUAAUACCAUAUAUUCCCUACGGGGGAAAGAUUUAUCGCUAUUAGAUGAGCCUACGUUAGAUUAGCUAGUUGGUGGGGUAAAGGCCUACCAAGGCUAUGAUCUAUAGCUGGUUUGAGAGGAUGAUCAGCCACACUGGAACUGAGAUACGGUCCAGACUCCUACGGGAGGCAGCAGUGAGGAAUAUUGGACAAUGGGCGAAAGCCUGAUCCAGCCAUGCCGCAUGAGUGAAGAAGGCCUUAGGGUUGUAAAACUCUUUUAGUGGGGAAGAUAAUGACGGUACCCACAGAAGAAGUCCCGGCAAACUCCGUGCCAGCAGCCGCGGUAAUACGGAGGGGGCUAGCGUUGUUCGGAAUUAUUGGGCGUAAAGAGCACGUAGGCGGUUCGGUAAGUUAAAAGUUAAAUACCAAGGCUCAACCUUGGGAAUGCUUUUAAUACUGCUGAACUAGAGAUCGAA
rnacentral:rRNA from 1 species